UUUUAAAACCCUAAAAUGGCUGGAGUCAUAUUCUAACUCAUUCCUAUCAACAUUCCUCUCAAUUUUAAUCCUUGGCUGAUUUGGGUUGAUUGAUUUCUGGGUUUUAUUGUUCUUAGUCUAAUCAAGAGACCCGUCGACUGCUCGUGCUUCGGAGUCUACGCAGGGUUAGCUGUUUGCCAAGAUUUACGUGGAUAAGCAAGCAGUUUAUGAUUUGAAAGCUGGUCCACUCCGAUUCUUUUGAUUCUUCGGAGGUUUUUAUGUUAUUUAACUAGUUACUGUUUUCGAACUCUUAGACCGCAGUAGAACUAGUUUAUUUAUUACAUCUGAUAUUACACUUUGGAAUUGUCGAUAUAUUCGAUUAUUUAUAUUUGGCAUGAUUACUCCGGAUUACGAUAUUGUUAUAUAUAAGGCAUGUUGUUGAACA